UACUCCUAACGGUGAUGAUGUGCUUA
rnacentral:piRNA from 1 species